UGAAGGAACUAGGCAAAAUGGCACCGUAACUUCGGGAGAAGGUGCGCCCUUUGGUGUGGUCACGUGCGUGACUGAGCAUCGAAGGGUCGCAGUAACCUGGCCGCUGCGACUGUUUAUCAAAAACACAGCACUCUGCAAACACGAAAGUGGACGUAUAGGGUGUGACGCCUGCCCGGUGCUGGAAGGUUAAUUGAUGGGGUCAGCCGCAAGGCGAAGCUCUUGAUCGAAGCCCCAGUAAACGGCGGCCGUAACAAUAACGGUCCUAAGGUAGCGAAAUUCCUUGUCGGGUAAGUUCCGACCUGCACGAAUGGCGUAACGACAGCGGCGCUGUCUCCACCCGAGACUCAGUGAAAUUGAAAUCGCUGUGAAGAUGCAGCGUUCCCGCGGCAAGACGGAAAGACCCCGUGAACCUUUACUAUAGCUUUACACUGAACGUUGAGUUCUUCUGUGUAGGAUAGGUGGGAGGCUAUGAAACCAGGACGCUAGUUCUGGUGGAGCCAUCCUUGAAAUACCACCCUGAAGUGCUUGACGUUCUAACCUAGGCCCGUAAUCCGGGUCAGGGACCGUGUAUGGUGGGUAGUUUGACUGGGGCGGUCUCCUCCCAAAGAGUAACGGAGGAGCACGAAGGUACGCUCAGCGCGGUCGGACAUCGCGCACUGUGUGCAAAGGCAUAAGCGUGCUUGACUGCGAGAUCGACGGAUCAAGCAGGUACGAAAGUAGGUCUUAGUGAUCCGGUGGUUCUGUAUGGAAGGGCCAUCGCUCAACGGAUAAAAGGUACUCCGGGGAUAACAGGCUAAUACCGCCCAAGAGUUCAUAUCGACGGCGGUGUUUGGCACCUCGAUGUCGGCUCAUCACAUCCUGGGGCUGUAGCCGGUCCCAAGGGUAUGGCUGUUCGCCAUUUAAAGUGGUACGCGAGCUGGGUUCAGAACGUCGUGAGACAGUUCGGUCCCUAUCUGUCGUGGGCGUUGGAGAUUUGAGGGGGGCUGCUCCUAGUACGAGAGGACCGGAGUGGACGUUCCGCUGGUGUUCGGGUUGUCAUGCCCAUGGCAUUGCCCGGUAGCUACGAACGGAAGUGAUAACCGCUGAAAGCAUCUAAGCGGGAAGCACGCCCCAAGAUGAUAUCUCCCGAGAGCUUGACUCUCCUAAAGGCACCAUCAAGACUAGGUGGUUGAUAGGUCAGGUGUGGAAGCGCAGCAAUGCGUUGAGCUAACUGAUACUAAUGAGCCGUGAGGCUUGACCU
rnacentral:rRNA from 1 species